UAUAUACAAAUUCUAGCCUUAUAAAAUAAUCUUCGAUAUCUUGGUAGAUUUAAUCAAUUCCAAUCUAUAUCCAUAGCUAUAUAUAUAUCUAAAAUAAAUACAAAAGAAGAAAAAUAAGUAAAGAAUAUUGAAGUGAAAUUUUUUGAGAGGCUAACAUAUAAUGAUCAAUAACAAUAUAUACAAGUUCAAGGCAUUGAUAGUUAAGAUUGAAUGCAAAAGUUAAUAAAUAAUAAACCCAC
rnacentral:lncRNA from 1 species